UACGGAGGGUGCAAGCGUUGUCCGGAAUUAUUGGGCGUAAAGGGCUCGUAGGCGGUCCAUCGCGUCGGGAGUGAAAAGCUGGGGCUUAACCCCAGUCCUGCUUCCGAUACGGGUGGACUAGAGGUAGGUAGGGGAGAUCGGAAUUCCUAGUGUAGCGGUGAAAUGCGCAGAUAUCAGGAGGAACACCAAUUGCGAAGGCAGCUCGCUGGGACGUGACUGACGCUGAGACGCGAAAGCGUGGGGAGCAAACAGG
rnacentral:rRNA from 1 species